UGCUUGGCGACCAUAGAGCCGUGGAACCACCUGAUCCCAUCCCGAACUCAGAAGUGAAACGUGGCAUCGCCGAUGGUAGUGUGGGGUCUCCCCAUGUGAGAGUAGGUCAUCGCCAAGCA
rnacentral:rRNA from 1 species